rnacentral:lncRNA from 1 species
UCCUUUUUAUGACGAGGUGAAUGGGCUUAAAGUUGGAGUAAGUACCAAAUGUAUGGUUAUUAUGAAAUUUGAUGUGACAUAGAUGGCUUUUAGAAAGGACUAUUAUCAAAUGUCGUAACUUUUGAAUGAGAACCUAAUGAUAAGGACUUAUCUGCAAAUUAUUAGAUAUGUUAAUCAUGCAUGUUCAUUUAUAAAAUAGAAAGUCAUACGCAAACAUUUCUUUUUCACCCACUACUAAUCUGUGAGCAAAUUUAAGCUAAGGUUGUCCAGCAUUAGAUAUGUAUCCAGCAAUUUCCACAUCGAACCAUUGCUGAUUUUCUGUUUUG